rnacentral:rRNA from 1 species
UACAGAGGUCUCAAGCGUUGUUCGGAUUCAUUGGGCGUAAAGGGUGUGUAGGUGGCGCGCUAAGUCGGGUGUGAAAUUUCGGAGCUUAACUCCGAAACUGCAUUCGAUACUGGCGUGCUUGAGGACUGGAGAGGAGACUGGAAUUCAUGGUGUAGCAGUGAAAUGCGUAGAGAUCAUGAGGAAGACCAGUGCGAAGGCGGGUCUCUGGACAGUUCCUGACACUGAGACACGAAGGCCAGGGGGAGCAAACGGG